AUUAGGCAUGUUAAAUUGUCCCUAAAAUGAGCUUCACGAAAAAUGACUCGUCCUUUUCCUUUCUUUUGUGGAUUUGAUUUCUUCCUUCUUCUUCAAUUCAAAAUGAUCCAUUAAAGUAUAACUUAUGAUCUUGAGGGAAGAAGCUAAACAAAAGGGAGGAAGAAAAAUUUUUUUCUUUCCUCCGCGGGAUGCUAGCGGUGGCACCGCCUGGCGCUCGGGCGCCAGGCGGUGACACCGCUCGGUUUGGCGGUGACACCGACCGAGCGACCCUUAUUAACCCGAGGGGUUAGGGCCGGCAGUGACACCGCCCCCAACCCGAAAAAAAGGCUCUCAAAACCCUCUCCCAUUCCCUCUAACCCUCACUCUAACUCUUAGAAGCAUUGGAGAAGGAUUCUUGGUGGUCCAAGCUUUCCAUCUCUCAACAUAAUCUCCAUAAGGUAACACUUGAAAUCCCUCUUUUUGGUAUCCC
rnacentral:lncRNA from 1 species